UGGGGAAUAUUGCACAAUGGGCGAAAGCCUGAUGCAGCAACGCCGCGUGAGUGAUGAAGGCCUUCGGGUUGUAAAGCUCUGUCUUCUGGGACGAUAAUGACGGUACCAGAGGAGGAAGCCACGGCUAACUACGUGCCAGCAGCCGCGGUAAUACGUAGGUGGCAAGCGUUGUCCGGAUUUACUGGGCGUAAAGGAUGCGUAGGCGGAUACUUAAGUCAGAUGUGAAAAUCCCGGGCUUAACUUGGGAACUGCAUUUGAAACUGGGUAUCUAGAGUGCGGGAGAGGAAAGUGGAAUUCCUAGUGUAGCGGUGAAAUGCGUAGAUAUCAGAUAGAACACCAAUGGCGAAGGCAGUCACUUGGUCCAUUACUGACGCUAAAGCACGAAAGCGUGGGUAGCAAACA
rnacentral:rRNA from 1 species